rnacentral:rRNA from 1 species
AUGGAAGAAGAAAUUGAUGAAACUGUGAGCUCAUUGGAUGAAAAAGAUGAGGAGGAGAGCGAAGAACAAAAGGAGGAAGAGCGGAUUGAUCACCCGUGCCCACCUUCUAAUGAGAGUAACUCUUCAACUCAUACAUUGUUUAAUUCCCCUUGGUGCUUACCGAAGGAUGAUUUCUAUGAUGACUGUUAUGAUCCCUAUGAUUCUUUUAAAAUAUCCUUUUUUGAUGAUGCUUGCUAUGCUUAUGGCCAAGAUGCCAAUAUGAAUUAUGCUUAUGGAGAUGAACUUGCUAUAGUUCCUUAUGUUAAACAUGAAAUUGUUGCUAUUGGACCCACGCAUGAUAGUCCUAUUAUCUUUUUGAAUUCUCCCGAUUAUACUAUAUCGGAGAAGUUUGCACUUAUUAAGGACUAUAUUGAUGGGUUGCCUUUUACCGUUGCACAUGAUGAUUUCGAUAAAUAUAAUAUGCAUGUGCUUGCUGCUCCUACUUGUAAUUAUUAUGAGAGAGGAACUAUAUCUCACCCUCUCUAUGUUUCCAACAUGAUAAAAUUGCAAGAAACUGUUUAUACUAUGCAUUGGCCUUUACUAAGUGUGCAUGAAUUGUUCUUUUAUGACAUGCCGAUGCAUAGGAAGAGAGUUAGACUUCGUCAUUUCUUGAUAUAUGUUGCUUUGUGCUCUCUACUAAAUUACAAAUCAUUGUUAAUUAAAAUUGGCUUUGAUAUACCUUGGGAUCCGGGUGGAUUCACUACUUGA